rnacentral:rRNA from 1 species
AGAGUUUGAUCCUGGCUCAGAAUAAAUGCUAUCGGUAUGCUUAACACAUGCAAGUUAAAUGUAUUUAAAACAUAGCGGACGGGUGAGUAACACGUGAAUUAUCUACCUUUUAAUUCAGAAUAAUUAUUUUUAUAAAAAUACUGAAUAAAUAAAUUAAAGUUUUUAACGUUAAAAGAUGAGUUUGCGUAAGAUUAUGGUAGUUGGUAGUUUAAAAGACCUACCAAGCCUUUUAUCUUUAGCUGGUUUGAAAGAACGAUCAGCCACAUUGGAACUGAGACACGGCCCAAACUUUUUUAAAGGCAGCAGUGGGGAAUUUUGGACAAUGAGCGAAAGCUUGAUCCAGUAAUACCGAGUGAGUGAAGAAGGCUAAUUAGGUUGUAAAGCUCUUUCAUUAAGGAGGAAAAUGACAGUACUUAAAAAAGAAGUUCCGGCUAAUACCCGUGCCAGCAGCCGCGGUAAUACGGGAGGAGCGAGCAUUAUUCGGAAUGAUUAGGCGUAAAGAGUUUGUAGGUGGUUUUUUAAGUUGAAAGAAACAAAUUAAAGCUCAACUUUAUACAUUUUUUCAAAACUGAUAAACUAGAGUAUAAAUAGAGGAUAAUGGAAUUUCUAUUGGAGUGAUAAAAUACGUUGAUAAUAGAAGGAAGGCCUAUGGCGAAGGCAAUUAUCUGGGUAUAUACUGACACUGAGAAACGAAAGCUUGGGUAGCGAACGGGAUUAGAUACCCCGGUAGUCCAUGCCGUAAACGAUGAGUGCUAAUAUUUAGAAUUUUUAGAUAUAACAGCUAACGCGUUAAGCACUCCGCCUGAAAAGUAUAAUCGCAAGAUUGAAAUUCAAAGGAAUUGACGGGAGUCUACACAAGCGGUGGAGCAUGUGGUUUAAUUCGAUAAUACGCGCAAAACCUUACCAACUCUUGCUAAUUUUUAUAUAAAAUUUUAUAUAAAAAACAGGUGUUGCAUGGCUGUCGUCAGCUCGUGUUGUGAAAUGUUUGGUUAAAUCCUUUAACGAGCGCAACCCCUAUUGUUAGUUGCCAAUUUAUUAAAAUAAAAUAAA